rnacentral:lncRNA from 1 species
ACCUGGUAGGCACUCAAUAAAUAUGAGUUUCCUUCUCACUUCAAUGUUAAUUACAGAACAACGAGGGCAAAGCGACACAUUUCAGAUGUUUAUGUCUGAUAACGCCAAUUCCUUCUCUUUCACAGUGUGUUAAUACACUUACCUGAUGACUUUGUUUCUGAAAACCAGGAACAGAAACUGACGCAUGGACUCGGGGCAUAUGCAAUCUGAGGGUCUAGAGUCCUGCUGACCAGCAUGGUAGCCACCAGCCACAGGAGCCUACUACAGUUUAAUUACAAUUAAAUCAAAGCAAAACUUCAGUUCCUCAGCCACUCUUGCCACCUUUCAAGUGCUCACUGCCAGGACCACACAUGGAGACACAUCCUGAUGCUUAUACAAUAUGUGAGGGCUUCUUUAGGAAAAAGGGUAAAAAAUUGUGAACACAAAUUAGGUAGAAAAGCAAAUAUUUAUUUAGACCUCAAAUUCCUGGAAUCAAAGAGAUUCAGGGCCUCUGAGAUCUCUUCAGGCAAUUUACCAGAAAUGCUGACGUUAAAAUGCUUCAUGAUGGCAACCUGGCUUCUCCUCUCUAUCUGGAACAUCCUCUAGCACCCUGCAACACCGGCACUCACCAGAGCCCUGCAAGUGAGGGUCUCCAAAGCUCAACAUCUCCUAGUGUCAUGGUAAAUCCCCCUCUGACCAUAGAUCCCAGCAUUCUGGAUGGGGUUGUAGAGUGACCUCAGGUUUUUGAGCCCUCCAGUUUUUCUUUGACAAAUAAGAGAAUGACCCCAGAAAAGUAAACUAGGUUCCCCACUCUCUCGUAACUUUUAACAUCGGGAAUGAGAAUGAGAACCAGGUCUCCUGUUUCCCAGCCCGUGUCCUGGCCUGUAAACUACAGUGUCUGAUAAGAGGUUGCACCAUGAAGCAGUCAGAGCUUAGAGCUUAGAGUCAGAAGAUUGGAGUUACAAAUCCUUAAGCUGCAUCUCUCUAGCAGUGAGAUCUUGGGCAAAUCACACAGCUUCUCUGAACCUUACUUUCUUCAUCUAAUAUGAGCCUCUUGGGUUUGUUGUGUGCAUUAAGUGAAAUAAUGUAAUGAAAAUGUAUAAAAUGUGGUAGUACUUAAUGAACAUUGAUUGCCUCAUUGUCUUAAUGCCAUUCCUUGCACUAUGCCUUUCUACAAGAGCGUGUGUGUUUGGAGCAAAAGAAUGUGAAAUUAAACGAUGUAACUAAAAUUUCUUAAAUUGUUUUUUGCAAGUCUAAAUGGAGAAGAACC